CCUUCGACGAGCGGCGGUUAGAAACAGGCGUAGUACUCCCUACGACGCCGCGAUGAUCUGCGCGUGCCAGCAGUUUGCUCUGGAUCAGUGACAAAUUCGAAAACACGUGAGGAUCAUCGGUGUUAUUGAAAAGCUAUGUGUUCGUCCAUAGCGCGCCACCGGAACAGCACCAGCUACACAGCCUCCGCCGAGCUGCGCCAGAGCGCGCCACUCUACGCGCGCCGCCGGCCCGACGACGAAGUAGCACACGACAGGAAUAGGCGGCGUGGGUUGGCGCGAGGCUACAGAGACAGGCGGAACCACUCGAAAUUUUGAUCAUUUGCGGGGAUCAAGAACUCUGCAAGCUCUUGGUCUCACUCGAGACAUGAGAAUACAGCUUAGUCCAUCAUCUUCAGGGAAUGAUGUCCAAAAGCGAGGUAACAAACUGUCUAUU